UGAUAACUUGCGCAAGCCAGUCAAACCCACACCUGGGCCAGGGAAUCCGGUGCGAAUCCGGAACUGACGCGCAGCGGUGAGGGGGACGGGCGGGGCACACGGCCACUGGGCGUCCACGGACGCCCGGGAAGGCGCUCCGUCCGGCCGAUCCCGAGUCCGAAGACCUGCUGGCGCCUCUGCCCGCAC
rnacentral:ncRNA from 2 species